ACGUAUUUAUAUUUACCAAAAACGCAUAUGAUUAUAAAAAAAGUACCUACCCAGGAAUCGAUCCAGCAUCGAUUAUUUUUUCAUUCUAGCAUAGUUCGGAAGCAAGUAACAUUGCACUAGGUACACCUCUAUGGCGCAUGCGCGCUGGAUAGCAAGAGAGGCGCGCCGCCGCGCCGCCGCGGCGCCAUCACCGUCACCGCCAUAUUGAAUUUUCCGCCGAAGAGUUUGCCGCUAUUUUUUAAAGUAUUUUUGUUAAGUCUUUACAAUACAAAACAAACAUCUAUUAUAAAUUAUUAUGUUUGUGUUUGCAAUAUGCAAUUGUAAAAUCGAUAAGUGACAACAACAAAGAAAAUGAAAAAUCAACCACACCCAUAAACUAAACAUGAAACGCUGGAUACAAGAUAUUAAUUCCUCUCCGGGACAACAAUACUAAAACGACCAUCAGACCACCUAGUUACCUACCUACUAACUAGAAGUAUAAUGGAAAUAAGAUACAGAAAUGAAAUCAAGCAAUUGUGUAUAUUGGUGUCAGAAAAAUUACUCAACCAGUGUGUGUUGUGUGUGUUAUUCACCCAAAUAAAGUUUUACGUCCAUAAAA